rnacentral:misc_RNA from 1 species
AAAUCCCCGGAUUCGCCAUGAUAGAAGUUUAAGAAUCCACGCAAGUUCAUUGCCUGACCAUGGACAAGCGUUGGGCCCAGGAUGUGUUACGGUGUCGUCUCUGCGAGACCCCGGGCCCCUCUAUGUACUGUGACAUUUGUCACAUACAUCUGUGUAAAGCCUGUGUGGGGGAACAUCUCUCCGAUCAAUCCAAAGAACACAAAGUGCUGCCAUUUGAACAGCGGGGAUCUACUACAAAUUACCCUAAGUGUCCUAAACAUUCCACAAAACAAUGUGAACUUCACUGUGAACAAUGUGACAUUCCUAUUUGUGCACUCUGUAUUUCUGGAGAACAUUUAGGACAUAAACCAGUUGACAUUGUUAAACAUAUUGAAAGCAAAAAAGAACUUUUACAGAGAGAAAUGCAAGAGUUACAGAAAUCCAUUUCUCCUAAAUAUCAACAGAUUGCCUCUAAUAUCCCAGUUCAGAAAGCUGCUCUGAAUAAAAACAGCCAGAAACUGACAUCAGCAAUAGACAAACAUGGAGAAGCCUUGCACAGAGAAAUAGACAUCAAGAUCCACAAACUGAAAUCUGAUCUCAAUGAAAUGGACACCAAACACCUGGCCGUCCUCAACAAACAGCAAGAUGAAAUCACACGCACCAUUGAUGAAAUCACACAGAGCAUUGCUGAACUGAAGAAGUUAGUGGACUCCAAUGAUGUCAGCCGUGUCUCUGCCUACAAAUCCAGGAUUGCUGAAUUCAGAAGAUUGCCUCCUAAACUCACCGUGUCCUUACCAAGUUUUACCCCUCAGAAGAUCAACAAAGAACAGCUUUAUCAACAGUUUGGUUCUCUGUCAGCGUCAUCUAUCAAAACAGAAGAACAAGUCUACACCAUGGAUUCCCCCGGUGCUGAGUCCUCUCCCCCGGACAGACCGCUCAUUGAUGUACCACAGAUCAUCACAGAGAUAAACACCGAGUAUGGAGACUCUAAUAAAUUAGGCAGUGUGUCCUGUCUGAGGGAUGAAGAACUAUGGACGUGUGGUGGGGACAACAAGAUGAGACUGUACAACCUAAAGGGAAAACUAGUGAAGUCAGUCCAAACCAAGUCAGGGAACAUGCCAGGGGACAUAGCAGUGACAAGGAGUGGGGAUCUAGUUUAUACUGAUUACGAUGAUAGAACUGUGAACAUAGUGAAGAAUAAAAAGAUAAAGACAGUGAUCAGACCACGGGGGUGGGUACCUCACGGUGUCUGUAGUACCUCCUCUGGUGACCUCCUGGUUGUCAUGGACAGUUAUGAUUAUGAACAAACAAAAGUUGUGCGUUACUCUGGCUCCACAGAGAAACAAAGUAUUCAGUACGACGACAAAGGACAACCUCUCUAUUCAUCUGGUUAUAACAUUAAAUACAUCAGUGAGAACAGGAACCUAGAUAUCUGUGUGUCAGACGGUGCCGGUGCAGUAGUGGUGGUCAAUCAGGCCGGGAAACUCCGGUUUACCUACACUGGUCCUCCCUCUACUACCAAGGGAUCAUUUAGUCCAAACGGCAUCACAACAGACAGCCAGGGUCGGAUCCUGACAGCAGACUGGGACAACCAGUGUAUCCACAUCCUGGAUCAGGACGGACAGUUCCUCCGCUACAUUGACAACUGUCAUUUACAGGCUCCAUCGGAUCUAUGUGUGGACACCAGAGACAACCUCUUUGUGGGUGAGAACGACACAGGUAAAGUGAAGAAAAUCCAGUAUUACAUGUAAACAAACUGUGUGUAUAUCUACAUAUAUAAACAAACUGUGUGUAUAUCUACAUAUAUAAACAAACUGUGGGUGUUACAUUGAUAUGAAUUGUUUACAUAUUGAUAGAUGAAAUACAAACUAUAUGUAUGUGUGAAUACAACACUUAAACAAGCUCUGUAUAAAUACUAUAGAGGAACAUUUCUGUGGAUUGUGCACAAAUUACAGGUAUAUUUUAUAUGUACAUGUAUUGUGUGUGUGUGUAAACAUACUGUUAUGUAUAUUGUGUAUAAUUAUAUUGCAUGUAUAUAAUAUUGUUUAUUUCUCAUUAUUUAAGAAAGAAUAAAAAUGUUAAAUAGUUCUAUGGGAUAUAAACUUGUUGGUCACAUAAUUAAAUCCUGUGAAGUCUGAAGGAAUUCUCACAAGAUUACAUCAUGUCCCAACCAACUUUAUCCAAGAGAACAUUUUAACAUUAAAAUAUAUUAUCAUAUUUACAUUGAGAUGAGAGAUCAUUCCAAAUCAUGACUUACUGUCUGUCAUACAUACCAGGUUAUAUGCUCCAUGUGACAAGCCGUCAGUUGACCUCUUGACCCUUCAGAAAGUUCUACUGAAUUCUUCACUUCAUCCUUCAAUAGAUUCAGAUGACAAGAGAAAUAGCAAUGCACUUUAUAUUAACAAACUGUAUUUAUUUUAAUGUUAAGAGACUGAUUGCAUUUACAUGUACCAUGUAAACAAAACAAUACUUAUAUACAAAUUGUACUUCUAUUCUCAUUAGUAAUUGUAUUUCAUGAUGAAUGAAUAAUAAAAAAAUAUUGUAUUUUACAUUGAAUAUCACUUUGCUGUCAAAUAAAUAAAACAAGACAAUUAAUGGU